GAUUAACGCUGGCGGCAUGCCUAAUACAUGCAAGUCAAACGGGUGUACUUGUACACCAGUGGCGAACGGGUGAGUAAUAUAUAGGUAACUUACCCUUGAGACGGGGAUAACCAUUGGAAACGAUGGAUAAUACCGGAUAGUACAUUUUACCGCAUGGUUUUAUGUUUAAAGACGCCUUCAAGCGUCACUCAAGGAGAGGCUUAUAUCGCAUUAGCUAGUUGGUGAGGUAACGGCCCACCAAGGCGACGAUGCGUAACUGUGCUGAGAGGCAAAACAAGUCACAUUGGAACUUAAGACACGGUCCAAACUACCUACGGGAGGCAGCAGU
rnacentral:rRNA from 1 species